UACGUAGGUGGCAAGCGUUGUCCGGAUUUAUUGGGUUUAGAGGGUGCGUAGGCGGUCCUAUAAGUCAGUUGUGAAAUACGGCAGCUUAACUGUCGAGGUGCAAUUGAUACUGCAGGACUUGAGUACAGACGAGGUAGGCAGAAUUGACGGUGUAGCGGUGAAAUGCUUAGAUAUCGGCAAGAACACCGAUAGCGAAGGCAGCUUACUAGACUGUAAUUGACGCUGAGGCACGAAAGUGUGGGGAUCAAACAGG
rnacentral:rRNA from 1 species